UCCGUAGGUGAACCUGCGGAAGGAUCAUUACAGAAAGUAAACGCGGAUCAAACCGCGAACUUCUAAACCUUUGACGAUUGACUCAUGUUGCCUCGGCGGGUUCUCCCGCCAGAGGAUACAUCAAAACUCCUGUUUUAACGGUGUUGUCUGAGCUACAAGCAACGAAUCAAAACUUUCAACAACGGAUCUCUUGGUUCUGGCAUCGAUGAAGAACGCAGCGAAAUGCGAUAAGUAGUGUGAAUUGCAGAAUUCAGUGAAUCAUCGAAUCUUUGAACGCACAUUGCGCCCCUUGGUAUCCCGAGGGGCAUGCCUGUUCGAGCGUCAUUUCACCACUCAAGCCUGGCUUGGUGUUGGGCGACGUCCCCUUUGGGGACGCGCCUCGAAACGCUCGGCGGCGUGGCACCGGCUUUAAGCGUAGCAGAAUCUUUCGCUUUGGAAGUCGGGGCCCCGUCUGCCGGAAGACCUAUUCGCAAGGUUGACCUCGGAUCAGGCAGGGAUACCCGCUGAACUUAAGCAUAUCAAUAAGCGGAGGA
rnacentral:rRNA from 1 species